rnacentral:rRNA from 1 species
CCUACGGGAGGCAGCAGUGGGGAAUUUUGGGCAAUGGGCGCAAGCCUGACCCAGCGACGCCGCGUGGAGGAUGAAGGCCUUCGGGUUGUAAACUCCUGUCAGGUGGGAAGAAACGUCAUCGCGCGAACAGCUCGGUGACCUGACGGUACCACAAGAGGAAGCUCCGGCUAACUCCGUGCCAGCAGCCGCGGUAAU